GAGCUUUCACUUGAAGGCUCAACUACCGAGCACUUUCCCUGCUCUGAAGGCAGACUUGUCCCUAACUGGGAGCUUUACUUUGAGGCUCAACUACCGAGCACUUUCCUGCUCUGAAGGCAGACUUCUCCCUAA